GAUGAACGCUGGCGGCGUGCCUAAUACAUGCAAGUCGAGCGAACGGACGAGAAGCUUGCUUUUCUGAUGUUAGCGGCGGACGGGUGAGUAACACGUGGAUAACCUACCUAUAAGACUGGGAUAACUUCGGGAAACCGGAGCUAAUAUCGGAUAAUAUUUUGAAUCGCAUGGUUCAAAAGUGAAAGACGGUCUUGCUGUCACUUAUAGAUGGAUCCGCGCUGCAUUAGCUAGUUGGUAAGGUAACGGCUUACCAAGGCAACGAUGCAUAGCCGACCUGAGAGGGUGAUCGGCCACACUGGAACUGAGACACGGUCCAGACUCCUACGGGAGGCAGCAGUAGGGAAUCUUCCGCAAUGGGCGAAAGCCUGACGGAGCAACGCCGCGUGAGUGAUGAAGGUCUUCGGAUCGUAAAACUCUGUUAUUAGGGAAGAACAUAUGUGUAAGUAACUGUGCACAUCUUGACGGUACCUAAUCAGAAAGCCACGGCUAACUACGUG
rnacentral:rRNA from 1 species